rnacentral:rRNA from 1 species
CGUUUUCCGUUUAAAAUGGAAGAUUUAACCUGCCCACUGAAAAUUUAAAGGGCCGCGGUAUCUUGACCGUGCAAAGGUAGCAUAAUAAUUAGUUUUUUGAUUGAAAGCUGGAAUGAAUGGUUGGACGAGAAAAUUACUGUCUCUGGUUAAUUUUAUAUAAAAUUUUAUUUUUAAGUUAAAAAGCUUAAAUAAUUUUAAAAGACGAGAAGACCCUAUAGAGUUUAAUAUUUUUAAAGGAGUAUAAUGAUUUUAAGUAUUAAGGUUGNGCUUUUUUUUGAUUAUUUUAUUGGGGUGAUAGGAAGAUUUAAUUAACUCUUUUUAUAUUUGGAACAUUAGUAGUUGAUUUGUUGAUCCAUUUUUUAUGAUUACAAGAAUAAAUUACCUUAGGGAUAACAGCGUAAUCUUUUUAAAGAGUUCUUAUCGAAAUAAGGGGUUGCGACCUCGAUGUUGGAUUAAAGUUAAUUUUUGGUGUAGGAGCUGAGAUAUUGAGUCUGUUCGACUUUUAAAACUUUACAUGAUCUGAGUUUAGACCGGCGUGAGCCAGGUUGGUUUCUAUCUUUAUAAAUUUAAAGUAUUUUAGUACGAAAGGACCAAGUAUUUGAUAAAUUUAUUUUUNAAUUGGAUAAAGUUAAU